GACGAACGCUGGCGGCGUGCUUAACACAUGCAAGUCGAACGGAAAGGCCCUGCUUUUGUGGGGUGCUCGAGUGGCGAACGGGUGAGUAACACGUGAGUAACCUGCCCUUGACUUUGGGAUAACUUCAGGAAACUGGGGCUAAUACCGGAUAGGAGCUCCGGCUGCAUGGUGGGGGUUGGAAAGUUUCGGCGGUUGGGGAUGGACUCGCGGCUUAUCAGCUUGUUGGUGGGGUAGUGGCUUACCAAGGCUUUGACGGGUAGCCGGCCUGAGAGGGUGACCGGCCACAUUGGGACUGAGAUACGGCCCAGACUCCUACGGGAGGCAGCAGUGGGGAAUAUUGCACAAUGGGCGGAAGCCUAAUGCAGCAACGCCGCGUGCGGGAUGACGGCCUUCGGGUUGUAAACCGCUUUCGCCUGUGACGAAGCGUGAGUGACGGUAAUGGGUAAAGAAGCACCGGCUAACUACGUG
rnacentral:rRNA from 1 species